rnacentral:hammerhead_ribozyme from 1 species
AUCCAACUGACGAGCCCCGAAUAGGACGAAACGCUCGUCCUAGAU